rfam:Pongo abelii chromosome 7.
ACUGAGGAUUUUUUAGAAUCCACAAAUUUAAUAAGAAAGGAAAUU